UGACAAGAGAAAGACAGCCAGACAGGCAAUUCCACCAGGAAUACUUUCACCUGAGCCGCAGACAAAAGCAGCUGCUGGGAGAAAUUGCGGGGCAGACGUAGCAGUAACCCGCCUCCUUCUGCUUCUGGUCUUUUCUGGUACAAAUGCACAGUUGUCCAGUCAGCCAGCUGGUCAUGACUGUCAGCAGGACCUCGGCUCCGACUGUGGAUGGAGGCCAGAUGACACAAGCUAGCAGAGGCCGCUCUGCUGUGGAUGGUAGUGCCUCUGGUGAAGUGGACUGGCAGACAGCCAGUGCUCAACUGAAACCAUGUGGGGAUGCUUGAAGACUGGUAGUCAAAAACAUCUCAGCUACCAUGUUCUUCUUACACCCUUCACCUUAUUUUAGUUUGAUACUUGUAAAGGGGCUUUUUUUUUUUUCUUAAAAAAGAAAAGCCUUGCUUUCUUCUUCUUGCCUAAAGUAACACAUCUUUCACUGGGUUAUUGUUGGUCAUGUUAAAUGGAGACUUGAUUUAUCUCUUAAAACAUUUGAAAACAAGAUACAUGUACAACUAACUUAUUUUGUUUUAAGCUGCCGAAUUAUUUGAUCAUCAUGCUCACCUGUGCUGUUUUAAACAUAAAUGUUCAACCCAAUAAACGGUGCAUGUGGUGUGUAUUUUUGGUGACCCAAAUAAGUCAUGUAU